AUACGGAGGGUGCGAGCGUUAAUCGGAAUUACUGGGCGUAAAGGGUGCGCAGGCGGGCUGAUAAGUUGGAUGUGAAAGCCUACGGCUCAACCGUAGAACUGCAUCCAAAACUGUCAGGCUAGAGUGUGGGAGAGGAAGAUGGAAUUAGUUGUGUAGGGGUAAAAUCCGUAGAGAUAACUAGGAAUACCAAAAGCGAAGGCAAUCUUCUGGAACACUACUGACGCUGAGGCGCGAAGGCGUGGGGAGCAAACAGGAUUAGAAACCCCAGUAGUCC
rnacentral:rRNA from 1 species